AGAACGAUCAUCAUAUGGAAAGGACAAAUGAAACACAUUCGAUCACUAAUACUCAUUCAUCAAUUAUCAAAACUAUAAUUAUCAAAACAUUUCUCAUCAGAACUUAUAAAAGAGACCGCUCUAAUUUAUGUUGUGCUUUUCUAUCAAUUCCUCUCUCAUCCUCCAAUUAAUUUCAACUGUAAUUUGCAUGAGGACACUUUUGGCAAAAGAUUUAUGAGUACCCAAGAUAACCAGAGCCUCACCAAUACACCUUGAAAUCAAAAUUAUUUCAAAAAUCAAAGAAUAAAUUUCUCUCCCAAAUAAAUUGGAUCUCGCUAGAGAAAUAUUUCCAAUAUAAUGGGUUGUAGGCCGUUAUAGUGGAAUGGGUCAGUUUAAAGAUUUGAGAGAUGAGUUUUUUUGCCCAUUUCUCAAUUUUUUUCAAACACAAACUCCUCUUUCCGCUCUAAUCACUUUGCUCUGAUUGCUGGAACAAGGAUUACUGUCGCUAGGGCUAAAAAUCAAGAUAACGCUCCCCCUCUCUUCAAAAAAUUUCCUCACUAGAAUUGUCAAGAUAAAUUCUAAGAUUAUCAGAGGAUGGAAUUCUACUAUAAGAGAAGGAUCCUGAUGAGAGGUAUGAUGGAAGCAGUAAUAGAGUUCUACACUCGACUCCAAGAGUUCAAUUGGAUAUCAUUGGUGGGGGCUACUCGAGAUGAAGUCUCAGGCUGGGUCAAAGAGUUCUAUGCUAUCCUCCCAACCCUUCUUUGGGAUGACCCCCACCCUAUUAUCUGUAUUUAGGGAGUGAAUAUCCUUGUCAAGGCUAAUCAAAACAAGUUUACUUGACCAGUCUUGAAGGUACUAGGAUCACACACCUCACUGUAGAUGCUUGAAGAUAGGUGGACUUGGUAACUAAGAGGAUUCAUCCUUUGAUGACACUUCUGAUGAACAUACUAUCAGACUAUAGUGAUGGCUUGAUCUAUGCAAGGGAUUCAUCUGAAUGUGCAGGCAUAGCUUAUUUCAGAGUGGAAGGACUUCUAUAGGGGCAACAAAAAGGAUCCCUACCUUCCUAGUCUAAUCUCUGAGUUGUUCAGGCUUACAAGGGUUUCGAGAGAAAAUAAUGACAAGGACCUUGAGGGUAACCUACCCGUCCAUCCUCUCAAGGUGAAGGAUACACUAUUCUAAAGUAAUCAAAAGAGGAAAAUAGCUGAGGAAGAGAGAAGCAGAGUAGUAAAGAAAAAUGAUGAGGAUGCCCCUCUACCCAGUCCUCAAUUUCGUACGAGCGCCUAGAUCAGGACCUGGCUGCUAUGAGGAGAUUCUUGGAGCAUUCUCAUAUGCUUACCCAGGAUUUAACCCCUUCCAGCUACACAAACCCAUCUCCUACUACUUGAGACUAUGCUUAGCUCUGAAAAGAGCUGGAUGAAAAGAAGAAAAGAGGCUUUUGGGAUCUUAUUCUUGCUUAAAUGUGGAAGAUUGUCAAGGUCAUGUUUAAGUUCGUCAUCCCUAAGAAGCCACUUCUCCACUGGAUCUAGAGGACAUAUAGGGGUUUUCCUUCCUGAGUGGCUUAGAAGGAGAAGGCCCCGACCCCCGUAGUCUAUGGAGUUGAUGAGGCCUCCAGCUAUGUCUCCAGGUGCACGUUAGAUUAUUCCCUCUCCCCUCUUUAUUUUAUUAGUUUAUGGAUAUAGAUUACUCCCAUUUGGAAAAUAUAACGAACGAUCUCUCUUUCUUUUAUUUUCGCAUAUGGAUGCUUGUUUUUAUUAAACUAGGAAUGAAUGCAUAAUAUUUACCUUA